rnacentral:rRNA from 1 species
AACGAACGCUGGCGGCAUGCCUAACACAUGCAAGUCGAACGAGAUCUUCGGGUCUAGUGGCGCACGGGUGAGUAACGCGUGGGAAUCUACCCAUCCCUACGGAACAACUCAGGGAAACUUGAGCUAAUACCGUAUACGCCCUUCGGGGGAAAGAUUUAUCGGGGAUGGAUGAGCCCGCGUUGGAUUAGCUAGUUGGUGAGGUAAUGGCUCACCAAGGCGACGAUCCAUAGCUGGUCUGAGAGGAUGAUCAGCCACACUGGGACUGAGACACGGCCCAGACUCCGACUGGAGGCAGCAGUGGGGAAUAUUGGACAAGGGGCGCAAGCCUGAUCCAGCCAUGCCGCGUGAGUGAUGACGGCCCUAGGGUUGUAAAGCUCUUUCAACGGUGAAGAUAAUGACGGUAACCGUAGAAGAAGCCCCGGCUAACUUCGUGCCGGCAGCCGCCGUAACAC